rnacentral:rRNA from 1 species
CAGUAGGGAAUCUUCCACAAUGGGCGAAAGCCCGAUGGAGCAACGCCGCGUGUGUGAUGAAGGCUUUCGGGUCGUAAAGCACUGUUGUAUGGGAAGAACAGCUAGAAUAGGAAAUGAUUUUAGUUUGACGGUACCAUACCAGAAAGGGACGGCUAAAUACGUGCCAG